rnacentral:rRNA from 1 species
ACGGGAGGCAGCAGUGGGGAAUCUUCCGCAAUGGGCGAAAGCCUGACGGAGCAACGCCGCGUGAGUGAAGAAGGUCUUCGGAUCGUAAAGCUCUGUUGACAGGGACGAGAGAUAGCUUCAGGAAAUGGGAGCUAGAGGACUGUACCUGUCGAGGAAGCCACGGCUAACUACGUGCCAGCAGCCUCGGUCAUACGUAGGUGGCGAGCGUUGUCCGGAAUUAUUGGGCGUAAAGGGAGCGCAGGUGGGACUUCAAGUCAGUAUUAAAAGUGCGGGGCUCAAGCGCGUGAUGGGAUGGAAACUGUAGUUCUUGAGUGCAGGAGAGGAAAGCGGAAUUCCUAGUGUAGCGGUGAAAUGCGUAGAUAUUAGGAGGGACACCAGUGGCGAAGGCGGCUUUCUGGACUGUAACUGACACUGAGGCUCGAAAGCGCGGGGAGCGAACAGGAUUAGAUACCCUGGUA